rnacentral:rRNA from 1 species
AUUGAACGCUGGCGGCAGGCCUAACACAUGCAAGUCGAGCGAGCGGCGGACGGGUGAGUAAUGUAUGGGGAUCUGCCCGAUAGAGGGGGAUAACUACUGGAAACGGUAGCUAAUACCGCAUACCAUCGGAUGUGCCCAGAUGGGAUUAGCUAGUAGGUGGGGUAAAGGCUCACCUAGGCGACGAUCCCUAGCUGGUCUGAGAGGAUGACCAGCCACACUGGAACUGAGACACGGUCCAGACUCCUACGGGAGGCAGCAGUGGGGAAUAUUGCACAAUGGGCGCAAGCCUGAUGCAGCCAUGCCGCGUGUAUGAAGAAGGCCUUCGGGUUGUAAAGUACUUUUGGCAGAGAAGCGGUAUCUGCAGAAUAAGCACCGGCUAACUACGUGCCAGCAGCCGCGGUAAUAC